rnacentral:lncRNA from 1 species
UGCUGUGAGGAGAGCUGGUGUUCCUUUGGCCUGGGGCCCACCCAGAAUGGACACACCUGGGGGCAGACUGGAGCCCACCUUGCACUGGAGCUAAGCUGUCAGACCUGCAGCUUGAAGCAGGGCAGCCUGGCUGAGGCCCACCAAGAUCAGCCAACUUGCAAACACAGGAGAAACCAGUGCUUCUUGUGACAGGGUCUCUCUUUGCUGCCUAGGCUGGAGUGCAGUGGAAUGAACUUGGCUUAUUGCAGCAUUGACCCCCUGGACCCAAGUGAUUCUCCUACCUUAGCCUCUUGAAUAGCUGUGACAACAGGUGUGCACUACCACACUCAGCUAAAUUUUGUAAUUUUUGUAGAGAGGGCGUUUGACCCUGUUGCCCAGGCUGGUCUCAAACUCCUGAGCUCAAGUGAUCCUCCUGCCUCGGCCUCCCAAAGUGCUGGGAUUACAGAAGAAGAAAAUGAGGCAUUGAAAGAUUACACAACUUCCUUUGAGUCAUAUUUGCUUGUAAGUGGUAAGGCUGGAUGUUGAACCCAGGACAAAGGGUCUCACUCUGUCGCCCAGGCUGGAGUGCAAUGGCAUGAUCUCAGUCACUGCAACCUCUGCCUCCCAGGUUCAAGCGAUUCUCCUGCCUCAGCCUCCCAAGUAGCUGGGACUACAGUGGGUAAACUUCUCGGAGGAGAAUUGGCAUUGCAAGGGUGUUACUGGAGACCUCGGCAAGAAAGUGAAUGCAAAGACAGAUGACCCAGGAACCCGUGAUGGAUAAGGCUCUUGACAGCCAGGAUGUGGAAUUACAGGGGGUCUCUUUGAGAGACAAAAUAAAAAAAAUAGCCCAGUAAUCUUCCUUCCACCCUUUUCUCCCAGAUCUAAUUACAGAUGUCUUGACAUUCCUUCUGCAUAGAGUUUCCUUAAAAGAUUUGCCAAGAAGAAACAUUUGGAAACUGUGUUUUAGGUAUAAUCCGUCUGGGAGUCACUCUUGCUCGCUUUGUCGUUAGAUGACAAAACGCUUAAUUACAGCGAGCGCAAUGUAUACCACAUUUGGAAAACUGGAUUCUUGACCUAAAUAAUGUACCCCAUACUGACAACGGCCUUUUGGCAAAACUUGUGUCUCUGAUCUCACAUUAAUUACUACACAAAUAUACUUAUUGUGGGCACCGAGUUUACGGGAUGGAGUCCUCUUGACACAUGUUCACCAUAAAAACACAUUUUUUUCCCUUCCCCUGACCCUAAGGAAAAGAAAAAAAAAGAUUAACAUUUUUCAAGAUGCUGUUUUAGUGACAUGAAAACUGUCUGUUGAGUGUUCACUCGGCUUUUGUUCUUUUUCUUU